UUUUUUUAAGCAUCUCUUUCAAUCUUUGCAGAUUGGCUUUGUGCUGGGGCAUUCCUUCAACACCUAACCAGGAUAUUAACAACUCUGUCUUAGCCUUCACUUCUUGAUAACCCUAGAGAUCUUCCAAAGGAAAAAGCUUAGGGUCUUCUCAGAUCUUUCCUGAAUGCGUGACCUGCCCUGGAGGGACAGGAGUUUGGAGCUGUCUACUCUGCCAUUUUCCUGAUGUCACUCCACUUCUGAGUCUUUCCUAUCUUUGUGGAUAGCAGAGAUGUCGAUCUCGGAUAUGAUACCCUGACCGGUGACCAGUUAGAAACAUGGAGCAGCUCUACCUGGAUGGAAUGAACUUUAAGAAGCAGGUGGAUCUGAGCAAUGUACACAUGGGUGGCUUGUGGAUGUUGCUGGCACCCUGCCUAAACAUUCAUCCUCCAAUUGCUUUGAGUUGGAAGCGCACAGUUGCCCUUUUCCCCAGAGAACUGACCUUACUGAAACAGAAGGCCCCCUUCCACCUCACACCCUUGGCUGAAGGGCACAAAAGGCUCCUGGUCUUGA